rnacentral:rRNA from 1 species
CCUACGGGUGGCAGCAGUGGGGAAUAUUGGACAAUGGGCGAAAGCCUGAUCCAGCCAUGCCGCGUGUGUGAAGAAGGCCUUCGGGUUGUAAAGCACUUUCAGUGGGGAAGAAAGCCUUGGGGCUAAUACCCUCGAGGAAGGACAUCACCCACAGAAGAAGCACCGGCUAACUCCGUGCCAGCAGCCGCGGUAAUACGGGGGUGCGAGCGUUAAUCGGAAUUACUGGGCGUAAAGCGCGCGUAGGCGGUCUGAUAAGCCGGUUGUGAAAGCCCCGGGCUCAACCUGGGAACGGCAUCCGGAACUGUCAGGCUAGAGUGCAGGAGAGGAAGGUAGAAUUCCCGGUGUAGCGGUGAAAUGCGUAGAGAUCGGGAGGAAUACCAGUGGCGAAGGCGGCCUUCUGGACUGACACUGACGCUGAGGUGCGAAAGCGUGGGUAGCAAACAGGAUUAGAUACCCCGGUAGUC